AGGGGGGCGCCUUACACAUGCAGUCGAGCGAGAACUGGCUUCGGCCAGCGGAAAGCGGCGGAACGGGUGAGUAACACGUGGGCAACCCACCCUUGGUAUCCGGAUAGCCCGGGGAAACCCGGAUUAAUACGGAAUGGCCCAACAGCUCUUCGGGGCGGUUGGAAAAGGUAGCUUCGGCUCCGACAAGGACGGGCCCGCGGGGAUUAACUUGUUGGUGAGGUAACGGCCACCAAGGCGAGAUCCGUACUGGUCUGAGAGGACGAUCAGCACACUGGGACUGAGACACGGGCCAGAAUCCUAACGGGGAAGGCAGCAGUGGGGGAAUCUUGCGCAAUGGGCGAAAGCCUGACGCAGCGACGCCGCGUGGGGGAAGAAGGCUUUCGGGUUGUAAACCCCUUUCAGGAAGGACGAAGCCACUCGGGUUAAUAGCCCAGAGGGUGACGGUACUUCCAGAAGAAGCCCCGGCUAACUACGUGCCAGCAGCCGCGGUAAUACGUAGGGGGCAAGCGUUGUCCGGAUUUAUUGGGCGUAAAGAGCGUGUAGGCGGUUAGGUAGGUCCGUUGUGAAAACUCGAGGCUCAACUCGAGACGCCGAUGGAAACCCCCUAGCUAGAGUCCGGAAGAGGAGAGUGGAAUUCCU
rnacentral:rRNA from 1 species